UACAGAGGUCUCGAGCGUUAGGCGGAAUCACUGGGCGUAAAGCGCGUGUAGGCGGUCCGGUAAGUCCGCUGUGAAAGUCGGGGGGCUCAACCCUCGGAUGCCGGUGGAUACUGUCGGGCUUGAGUACGGAAGAGGCGAGUGGAAUUCCUGGUGUAGCGGUGAAAUGCGCAGAUAUCAGGAAGAACACCCGUGGCGAAGGCGGCUCUCUGGGACGGUACUGACGCUGAGACGCGAAAAGCGUGGGGGAGCGAACAGG
rnacentral:rRNA from 1 species